GGAAGUGUUGCUUGGACCACAUGAUUGAAAUGGCAGCCUAGUGGGUAUUGAAAUUUGUGGAAACAUCCACACCGAAGGCCAUUGUUCUCUCAAGAAACGGUACAAGGUUCCGUAGUGCGCGAUUUUUUUAUAUGAUUGAGGAGCUUUAUUCAAAAAGUUACCAAUUUUCCUGAGAGAUAUUUCGUUUUCACCUGGGGUUAAAUUAAAGUAAUAAGUUUUAAGUUUUCUUAAAUUUGUUCUGCUUGUUCUUCUGAGGGCCAUUUCAUUCUCGAAAAAUGUUUUUGAAAGAAUUUUUGUAUUUGUAUUGUUUCGUUGGGUGUUUUUUUGCGUAAUGCUUCUCAAUUAAGUGUUAGUUUACCGAUAAAGUGCAAUACUGAGAAAGACUGGCAGCGUUUGGUAGAAAACAUGACGAAUGGCUCAAGGAACGGAGUAAUAGGGUGAGUGUUUAAUGAAGCAGAGUAGCAGAGAUUGAGCCUCUUCUGGAUAUGGUUAUAUAAGAGGACGCCGCAUUCUCCUAUAAUAAUUAAGGUAGGUCAAAUUAUAUUUGCUUCCAAAUUUAGCCAAGAAAUGCAGAAGGAUCUUCAGAUGCUCCAGCUAGAACCUGGUUUCCUCAAAUCGAAUACAAAAAGCUGCUAUACUGAAAAGGUAACAGCAUGCCUGAAGGGCGUUGAGUCAUUUCGAAAACCGAGUAUCCCCAAAUCAGGCGCUUAUAGCUGUCCAUAAAAAG